rnacentral:lncRNA from 1 species
UGAUUUGGGGAGUGGGCUGGGAAUUGAAGGGCAGAGGCAGUUGCCCAUCAGGAGGCACCUGAACUUAUGGAUGCCGCACUCAGCUGUGCCCUCCUCGCAAUCCCCCCACAACCCACGUCUCCCCACAGAGUCCCCAUUCUUGCCACAGCCAUCCAGGAGGAGCUGGAGAAGGGGACUCCUGAGCCAGGGCCUCUCAAUGCUGUGGAUGAGCGGCACCAUUCGGUCCUCAUGUCCCUGCUCUGUGCCCAUCUGGGGCUGAGCCCCAAGGACAUAGUGGAGAUGGAGCUCUGCCUUGCAGACACCCAGCCUGCGGUGAGGACUGGCUGUAGGAACCUGUGGGUGAAGGGCCUCCAGGAUCCUGGCCACCCCUAGCCCGUCCUGCUGAAGCACCCAUCACCUCCACCAAGCCCUCAGUAACUCUCAUCCCCGUUUUUCCCAGUAGACACAUCCCCCACUGCUUCUAGGGCGGUGGUUCUCAAAAAGACAAGUUCCCUACCCCAGACCUGCCCACUAGGACUAUCUGGGAAUUGGCCCUUUUUACAGAUUCCCAAAGAGUUUCUUCUACAGGUGGGCCCUGUCUGC